UAUGCCGCACACCAUGCCGAGCCCUCCCCUCGACCUGCCGCCUGCAACCCUUUGCUCGCGAUCUCCUCUCAUAACGCGGAGCGCCGCCGCCUCCUGUCUCGCUGCCUGCGCAGCCCUGCAGCAGCGCCCCUGUCCUGCACGUGAUGCCCCGCCAGGUCUUCGCCGCUCCUCUGCUGGGCUUAAUUCGUUUAUGCAGCUCCCCACGACUCUUCCCGGCACCGCAUGUCCUACUGGCCAUGGUGCCCCUGCUGGUGCCCUCGAGCCUCGCCCUCUUCUGCAUCAUCCCCGUGGCACCCUCACCAUCAGCAAGGAACAGAACCACCGCCGCCGCAACCUUCCGGCCGCAAGUUCGGCCACCACGUUGCAUCCGGGCGCAAGUAUGUGCUUGUUGCAAGUAGAAAGGAACGCAGUUCAAGAGUUCUGAAGGUUAAGAGUUUCAGGAGCAAAUGUUGAAGGCUGAGCAGUUAUUAUCUAGUUUUAAGGCAAGUAUAUUCCUUGAUCAUGUUUCUGUCCUAAUAACUUUAUUAUUCGCUUGCAUGCAUUAAAUUGAUGGGGUCCUAUUACCUUGAAUAGCCGGGUUUCUUUUACAAAAUCUUUUAGGUAGAAUUGCUUAGUUGCUGAACAAUGGUAAUGGGUGGUUUUCAAUAAUGAUACUUGAGACAUGCUUCUAUACUUUAUAAUUUUUGGAACAAUAUGGUGAACUUGUGAAGUUAAUUAAAAUCAACCAUAGAGCGACCACCCGGGAAAACAACGCAACCACAAGGACUACAUGGCUCUGGUCUUGCCUGAUCAAUUAGAUUUCUCUAACUUGUUAGUAGCUUACCAAAAGGCGCAAGGGUGUACGCAUUUGUUUGGUUUUUGUCAUGCCUUGGGGGAGGUACACUCGUCCAAUUGCUGAAACCUCAGCGAGCUACUACUGGUUAGGGAG